GUACCUGGUUAAGACAUACUUGCCCUUUGGUUAAAAAAUGCCACCUCUCAUUUUGAGGGUUAAAAUGAGUCCAAAUAUUACUUUUUGGGACUAAAUUCUGACUUUGGCUAUCAUCUAACUAUUAGUUUCUUAUGCAGCUCUCUCUAUUGGUCAACUAAUGUACUAUUUGUCCUUUGGUUGCAUAUCACGGUUUCCCAUGCUGGCUCUGCUCCUCCUUUCUUAUGCGUAUCGUUUACACUUUCUCAUACCUACUUCUAAUAUCACAUAACAACUGUCUUUUUGAUAUCACCUCUCUCAUCUCUCUCAUCUCUUUCCUCACCGUUUUCAGCUUAUUUCGUCUUUCCUUCGCUAUUUAGAUUUACAAAACACCGACGAUGAUGUUGUUGAUAUUUCGUUGUUGUUGCAGAUUUCGAGAAAUUGGAUUCAGUUGAUCUAAACUAUUUCAUCAACAAGUUGUUGAGAAGCUACAUGGCAAGUAUGUCUGAAAUUCGAAGAUGGAAAAUACUGGAAAGUUAUGUGAGUCUAUAACUUUCAUAUACUACAAGUUUUUGUGUGUUUGUCUGAUUUAUUAUCCCCACUAGCUGUUUGAUGAAAUGCUUAUCUUUUGUUUGAAUAAAUAAUAAAUUGUUUUAGUGUUGGAACUAAUAUUUUGGUUACAAGCAGGUUCAAGUUUAAGUAGCUGCUUGAUGGACAGAAUAUUGUAGAGUUAUUUUUUGAACAAAAGAGAAAUACAUUAGUUUCGUAACAUAAGUUAUUAUCGGGAGCUGCAAGGAAGUUUGUGCGUAACAAAAGCUUUGAAUGUAGGUCCUUCAUGAAGAUUUGAAUCGUGUUAAAUGUAAGCCUUAUGUUGAAGCCGAGGAUGGAGAUGGCCGGCCAGAUGAAGCAGUUGUUGAUGAAUAUUGACAUUAUCAUCUGGAUUGCAAUGAUUUAGUCGUUGUUGAUGUGUUCCAAGUAUGUAUUCAUCUCAUUUUAUGCAAUUAUUUACUUCACCAUGGCACAUACAUGAUAUCCAACGCUUCCAUGGCUUAAGGUUUGCACUGAGGAUGUUUCUUUUACAAAUCAUCUAUCUCCUGAAAAAGAUGGAGUUGGCUCAAGUAAAAACAAGCACUGGGCUUUCAAGAACUGUUGUUGAGGGAGGAUGACGAUGUUGGAUGGUUUGAGGUUGAGAAACAGUUUGAGAUUCUUACGAAUUCGAGGGAGGAUGGUUUGCUUCAUCGUUCUCUCUUUUAUGACAGGACACCGUGUUUGAUCCAGUUUCUCUAACUUGUGGUCAUAUAUUCUGUUACAUCUGUGCUUGCUCGGCUGCAUCGGUAUCUGUUGUCGAUGGACUUAAGGCCGCGAAUCCUAAAGAAAAAUGUCCUCUGUGCCGCGAGGUGGAGAUUAUGAUAUUUUAGCUGAAAGUGUGGAAGAUGGUAGACUUUUUUUUGUUGGAGAAGCAACCAAUAGGCGUUAUCCUGCUACUAUGCACGAGGCUUUUCUAAGUGGUCUACGAGAAGCAGGAAAUAUGGCCCACCAUGCUAAUAAAUAAUAAUUGAUCAAUGAAUGUGAAGGUUGAAAAGUCUCCUUCAAAUGCUCAUACUUGUGCUUCCCUUCUUGCAUAUUUAUUUAAAUGAGAUUGAAUCACCUUUGCGAAAAGCUAAGAGUGAAGCUGGUGGGAACAAAAGGAUUGGGGCUGAAUGCUGAUUCUUUCAUUGCUUUUGUUAAAGCCGAGAGGGGCAAUCGUGAACCUGUUUCAACUUCUAUGUCUCUUAAACUAGGUGAAGAGAACUGAUAUAAUGGGGGCGUCAUGAUUUAGGCGUGUGCGUUUCGUCGGCAUUGGAGCUUCGCAUGGAGGACGAAGAUUGUGUCCGCAAUGGUGUCAUGAGCUAUUUCGGCCAAUGCAGAGGAAGAAAAAGGUCUUCACUGCAGCAGUCUUGGCCCUCUCUUUUUCUCCUUCUAUUUCACUUUUAUUUUAUCUAUUUUUGUGUGUUGUGAUUCUCUACUUUCAUAGGUUCUAAGUGUUGUUGUUACGUUGCUUAUCUUGAGGUUAGUUAUGAGAAAAGUGAAGGUUUGAAUGAUGGUGAUGUUGAAGGUUUGAAUGAUGUGGAUGUUUAAGAUUAAGUUAUGGGAGGAGAGUUUGAUUGGAAGAGAAUGGUUUUAUGGUGAUGUUGUAAUAUGGUUUGAGCAGAACUUCAGUAGAUUCUAAAAUACUCAUGAAUAUGUAGUCUUAAAGAAUAUAGUUUUCAUUAUCAAUUUAUAAUUGUUAAUUUAAGUAAGGUGUGUAUGUGUUUCUGUUAAGCUC